GCACACAGGUGCUGCAUGGCUGUCGUCAGCUCGUGUCGUGAGAUGUUGGGUUAAGUCCCGCAACGAGCGCAACCCACGUCCUUAGUUGCCAUCAUUCAGUUGGGCACUCUAGGGAGACUGCCGGUGAUAAGCCGCGAGGAAGGUGUGGAUGACGUCAAGUCCUCAUGGCCCUUACGGGAUGGGCUACACACGUGCUACAAUGGCGGUGACAGUGGGAGGCGAAGGAGCGAUCUGGAGCAAAUCCCCAAAAGCCGUCUCAGUUCGGAUUGCACUCUGCAACUCGAGUGCAUGAAGGCGGAAUCGCUAGUAAUCGUGGAUCAGCAUGCCACGGUGAAUACGUUCCCGGGCCUUGUACACACCGCCCGUCACACCAUGGGAGUUGGUCUUACCCGACGGCGCUGCGCCAACCGCAAGGAGGCAGGCGACCACGGUAGGGUCAGCGACUGGGGUGAAGUCGUAACAAGGUAGCCGUAGGGGAACCUGCGGCUGGAUCACCUCCUUUCUAAGGAUGC
rnacentral:rRNA from 1 species